GCUGGCAGGUAAACUCAAGCCAGCAUCCAUGACGGCUUCUUGGAGUCAUCUGCCAGAAUGUCCAGAUGUGGAGUCCAAUCAGGGCUGGUGACAGCUUACCUUCGCAGUUGCCAAAAAGAAUCUUGACUCUGAUUUUUGACAAGUUCAACUUUCCUAACCAGCCAGACCCACCAGAGGGACCACCUUGAACAAAGACCUGGCCAAAUGCAAAAGGCAAUGAAGCAAUGGGUGAUCUUUAAAGCUAUAAAGGAACUACUGUAUAGUAAAAUUCUGUGGCACCACACAAAAAUGGAGAUUUCUCAAAUGUUGAGAGUUUGAAUUAUUCUAGGUGCAUAUCAAUGCAUUUGUCUUCGUGCUCUUUCAAGUGUGACACCAUGUACCAAAUUUACUUCCCAGACGUACUCCAUCUGAUGUCUUGAGGUAAAUUGUCACUUGGUAUUUGCUCCACUUUAUAAAAUGCUUAUUACAUUCUUUUCAAAACAAUAUUUUAAAAGGGUUUUUGUUCAU
ensembl:lncRNA